GACGAACGCUGGCGGCGUGCUUAACACAUGCAAGUCGAACGCUGAAGCUCAGCUUUUGUUGGGUGGAUGAGUGGCGAACGGGUGAGUAACACGUGAGUAACCUGCCCCCUUCUUUGGGAUAACGCCCGGAAACGGGUGCUAAUACUGGAUAUUCACUGGUCUUCGCAUGGGGGCUGGUGGAAAGGGUUUUUCUGGUGGGGGAUGGGCUCGCGGCCUAUCAGCUUGUUGGUGGGGUGAUGGCCUACCAAGGCUUUGACGGGUAGCCGGGCUGAGCGGGUGACCGGUCACAUGGGGACGGAGAUACGGCCCAGACUGGUACGGGAGGCAGCAGUUGGGAAUAGUGCGCAAUGGGGGCAAGCCAGAUGCGGCGGAGCCGCGAGAGGGAUGGGGCCGUCGGGUUGUGAACCUCUUUCGCUCAUGGUGAAGCCGCAACAAUGGUUGUGGUGAGGGUAGUGGGUAAAGAAGCGCCGGCUAACUACGUG
rnacentral:rRNA from 1 species